GACGAACGCUGGCGGCGUGCCUAACGCAUGCAAGUCGAGCGAGGUGUUCCCGCAAGGGGGCAUCGAGCGGCGAACGGGUGAGUAACACGUGGGUAAUCUGCCUAUGAGACGGGGAUAGCCCCGGGAAACUGGGGUUAAUACCGGAUGUGAUCCAGGUGGCGCAUGCUACAUGGAGGAAAGGGCGCAAGCCGCUCAUAGAUGAGCCCGCGGCCCAUUAGCUAGUUGGCAGGGUAAAAGCCUACCAAGGCGACGAUGGGUAGCCGGUCUGAGAGGAUGGCCGGCCACACUGGGACUGAGACACGGCCCAGACUCCUACGGGUGGCUG
rnacentral:rRNA from 1 species